rnacentral:rRNA from 1 species
ACGCGAAAGCUCCCUUCGGGGAGCAAGUAGAGUGGCGCACGGGUGAGUAACACGUAGGUAAUCUACCUUUGGAUGGGGAAUAACCACCGGAAACGGUGGCUAAUACCGCAUAAUGCAGCGGCACCUAAUGGUGACAGUUGUUAAAGCGGGGGAUCGCAAGACCUCGCGUCUGAAGAGGAGCCUGCGGCAGAUCAGCUAGUUGGUAAGGUAAAGGCUUACCAAGGCGAUGAUCUGUAGCCGGCCUGAGAGGGCGGUCGGCCACACUGACACUGACAUACGGGUCAGACUCCUACGGGAGGCAGCAGUCGGGAAUUUUGGGCAAUGGGCGAAAGCCUGACCCAGCAACGCCGCGUGAAGGAUGAAAUCCCUCGGGAUGUAAACUUCGCAAGAACGGGAAGAAUAAGUAAGAGUUAAUAUCUCUUAUGAUGACGGUACUGUUUGUAAGCUCCGGCUAACUCCGUGCCAGCAGCCGCGGUAAUACGGGGGGAGCAAGCGUUG